UACGGAGGGGGCUAGCGUUGUUCGGAAUUACUGGGCGUAAAGCGCGCGUAGGCGGACCUGCAAGUCGGGGGUGAAAGCCCGAGGCUCAACCUCGGAACUGCCUUCGAUACUGCGGGUCUCGAGUCCGGGAGAGGUGAGUGGAAUUCCUAGUGUAGAGGUGAAAUUCGUAGAUAUUAGGAAGAACACCAGUGGCGAAGGCGGCUUCCUGGCCUGUUCUUGACGCUGAGGCGCGAAAGCUAGGGGAGCAAACAGG
rnacentral:rRNA from 1 species